GACGAACGCUGGCGGCGUGCCUAAUACAUGCAAGUUGAGCGCUGAAGGUUGGUACUUGUACCAACUGGAUGAGCAGCGAACGGGUGAGUAACGCGUGGGGAAUCUGCCUUUGAGCGGGGGACAACAUUUGGAAACGAAUGCUAAUACCGCAUAAAAACUUAAAACACAAGUUUUAAGUUUGAAAGGUGCAAUUGCAUCACUCAAAGAUGAUCCCGCGUUGUAUUAGCUAGUUGGUGAGGUAAAGGCUCACCAAGGCGAUGAUACAUAGCCGACCUGAGAGGGUGAUCGGCCACAUUGGGACUGAGACACGGCCCAAACUCCUACGGGAGGCAGCAGUAGGGAAUCUUCGGCAAUGGACGAAAGUCUGACCGAGCAACGCCGCGUGAGUGAAGAAGGUUUUCGGAUCGUAAAACUCUGUUGGUAGAGAAGAACGUUGGUGAGAGUGGAAAGCUCAUCAAGUGACGGUAACUACCCAGAAAGGGACGGCUAACUACGUG
rnacentral:rRNA from 1 species